rnacentral:misc_RNA from 1 species
AAGUCGUAACAAGGUUUCCGUAGGUGAACCUGCGGAAGGAUCAUUAAAGAAUGUAACCUCUUUUGGUGCAAUCUUCUCAUCCCUUUGUCUACUUACUCUGUUGCUUCCAUGGUGCCCGCUAGUUUUAGCUCUGGACAGAUGCUUAAUCUCUUCUGUUUGGAAGUGCCCAUGGGUCUUUUUUAAAAAUAAACUCUUUAUGUGAUAAAAGUCUGAAAUUAAUAUACAAUAUAAAAACUUUCAACAACGGAUCUCUAGGCUCUU